rnacentral:rRNA from 1 species
UACGUAGGUGGCAAGCGUUGUCCGGAUUUAUUGGGCGUAAAGGGCGCGUAGGCGGGGAUGUAAGUCAGAUGUGAAAUCCCGGGGCUCAACCCCGGAACAGCAUUUGAAACUACAUUUCUAGAGGGUAGGCGGAGAAAACGGAAUUCCACAAGUAGCGGUGAAAUGCGUAGAUAUGUGGAAGAACACCGGUGGCGAAGGCGGUUUUCUAGCUUAUACCUGACGCUAAUGCGCGAAAGCAAGGGGAGCAAACAGG